rnacentral:lncRNA from 1 species
CAGGUACCAGAGACAAAGCGAACACGCCUAACGAUGUCUGCUUGCAAGGUUGUGGCUUUCGCCUUCCUAAUUGUUUUAGUCUUCCACACAAACAACAUCAUCGCUCGACCAGAGAAACCCGGCAGUCAUGGUGAAAUGAUGUAUUGUGGCGGCAAGUGCUUUAUUAAGAGAGAUCUCUCCUCGACUCCCUGCCCAGAUGGCUGCCGUUGCGUCAGCCUCCAAUUUAAGCACGGGGAAUUGACUGGAGAAGGAAAUUGCUUUCGAGAAAUUUGGAGCAAUCAGACAAAAUAAACCAGCUUCAACGGCUUUAAA